GUAGCCCUUGACAGUGCACACGAGGCUGAAGAGCUGGAUGACCCAGCAGAAUCCCGUCUGCAUCUGCUCCACGAAGACGCAGGCCAGGAGCUGCGGAGAGUGGGCAGAGUGGUGCCGAAGAGCAGCAGGUAGAAGCAGGCCAACAGAUAGCCCAGCCCGAAGAUGCUGAUUCGGGUGGCCCCCGUCACGAACACCACCACCAGCACCAGCCAGAACAGGUAUCGGAAGACAGCCACCUUCAGCAUGUCGAGGUAGGACCUGCCAUGGGGAAGCAUCACGGUGGGCGCCCCUGCCACCCAUCCCAGAAGGCUCCGGUGGAGGGUGGCGCAGGACAUACCUGCAGUGGAUGAAGUUGGGCACGGGGUUGGGCUCCCCCCACCGCGGCUCCAGAUGGUCAGUAUUGACGCCAGCCAUGCGCUGCCACUCUUCCGUGCGCUCCGCCGAGAACACCUGCCACUGCUGCGAGGCGCAGAGCAGCAGGAGGAAGUCACCUGCAGGAUGCGGGAGCUGCUGCUGGGCCGGGUGCACGGGGACCCACACAAGGCAGGCACAGUGCAUGUAGCCCGCCUCCCACCCCGGGCCUGGCAGGGUGUACAGCCACUGGGAGCAGACACACGCCUGCCCAGGGGAGUGGCCAGGUGCCCCUGGGGGAGCCACGGUGUGGGCAUCUGUGCGCAUGCAUAUGAGGGCAGGGCCUGCAGGCUGCCACGUGCCUGACUGCACACCUGUGCGCACAUUUGUGAGCAGACUGGAGUGUGCGUGUGUGCUCUGAGGGUCCUCUGUGGAGGCGGGGGUGGUUGGGGGACACUCACUGAUGAGGUUGGUAGAGUUGGGGGCACUGAAGAAGUCAGGCAGGUACAGCCACUUGAUGAGUGCGGAGUUCAUGGGGACAGCCCGGCUCCAGCGCCAUGGGUAAUCUGGGGUUGGGGGCGUCAUGUCAGGAAGGGCCUGGCCUGCCUGGGGCCUGAGACAUCCCAUCCCCACCUGCUCGCCAGUGUCCUCAGACCCCAGGACUUUAUCACCAACACUCAGGGUCCAUGGGUAUCAUCUCACGCCCAUCCGUGCACACACAUGUGGCGUCCUGAGAACUUAGAGACCUAAUGUCCCGUGUGUUCACACACAGUCCUUAAACUAUGCACCAAGCCCUGCGGGCAAAGGACCCAAGUGAGAGGCUAGAGGACGCGGGGAUGGGGGUGCUGGGCAUCCCUGAGUGAGUUGGGCCCACACAGCAUCACAGUCCCUGACGUGACAAUGCAUGUGAUAUAGCAGCUCUGAAAACAGUAGCUGGAAGCUGCACACAGCCACACGCCUACGGCAGGGAAAGGUUCAGCCUGUGGCAGCCACACCAGAGAACGCUGUGCAGUGUGACGGCCUGGGAUCCACAAGACAGCCUAGAGGGGCCUGCAGACCACGCGAGACAGCCUGGACGGGCCUGCUGAUGUGACGUCCUGACAGGACUAUCUGCCAGGGAUGGGCUGGGUCAGGGGCUGUUGGGGGAGGAUCCGUGGCACCACCAGCCCCUGGCCACACUUCCUGGGAGGCGUGCGAGGCAGGGAGGGUCAGUCCCUAAGGACUGUGGGACUGCAUGCAUGACGCCACUCAUCUGCAAAACCCACAGCAGCAUCUGCCGCAGAGGGAACCCCGUGACAUUAAAACAAACUUGCCCUCGAUGUCAGGGACCCCAGGACGCACUGAUCUCACAGGGUGCUCAUGGCACGGUCUUGUGGAAGGAGACAGAAGGGAAGCUGGCCUCGGCGCCUCUCGAGGGCAGGUGUUUCAGUAAGAAAGAGGUAGAGGGACGAGAAGCAGAGGCAGCCCUGUAGUGACAGGCACACCUGGUGUAGACCUCGCUCUCUGAACCUCACGCUCCUGGAGCUCCAUCACACUCCCCGGAGCAGUGGCUGUGAGUGCAGGCCUGUGCUGGGGAAGCACAACAUGAGGCAGCCGUGCCUGGAGCAGAAAACAAGACAGGCCAGGUGCGGUGCCCACGCCAGCCAUCCCAGCACUGCGGGAGGCCAAAGCGGGCAGAUCGCUUCAGGUCAGGAGUUCAAG